GACGAACGCUGGCGGCGUGCUUAACACAUGCAAGUCGAACGGAAAGGCCCUGCUUUUGUGGGGUGCUCGAGUGGCGAACGGGUGAGUAACACGUGAGUAACCUGCCCUUGACUUUGGGAUAACUUCAGGAAACUGGGGCUAAUACCGGAUAGGAGCUCCUGCUGCAUGGUGGGGGUUGGAAAGUUUCGGCGGUUGGGGAUGGACUCGCGGCUUAUCAGCUUGUUGGUGGGGUAGUGGCUUACCAAGGCUUUGACGGGUAGCCGGCCUGAGAGGGUGACCGGCCACAUUGGGACUGAGGUACGGCCCAGACUCCUACGGGAGGCAACAGUGGAGAAUGUUGCACAAUGGGCGGAAGCCUGAUGCAGCGACGCCGCGUGCGGGAUGACGGCCUUCGGGUUGUAAACCGCUUUCGCCUGUGACGAAGCGUGAGUGACGGUAAUGGGUAAAGAAGCACCGGCUAACUACGUG
rnacentral:rRNA from 1 species